rnacentral:rRNA from 1 species
CUACGGGAGGCUGCAGUGGGGAAUAUUGCACAAUGGGGGAAACCCUGAUGCAGCGACGCCGCGUGAAGGAUGAAGGAUUUCGGUUCGUAAACUUCUAUCAGCAGGGAAGAUAGUGACUGUACCUGACUAAGAAGCCCCGGCUAACUACGUGCCAGCAGCCGCGGUAAUACGUAGGGGGCAAGCGUUAUCCGGAAUUACUGGGUGUAAAGGGUGCGUAGGUGGUUACUUAAGUCAGAUGUGAAAGCCCGGGGCUCAACCUCGGGACUGCAUUUGAAACUGGGUAACUAGAAUACAGGAGAGGUAAGUGGAAUUCCUAGUGUAGCGGUGAAAUGCGUAGAUAUUAGGAGGAACACCAGUGGCGAAGGCGACUUACUGGACUGUUAUUGACACUGAGGCACGAAAGCGUGGGGAGCGAACAGGAUUAGAUACCCGCGUAGUC